AUUGAACGCUGGCGGCAGGCCUAACACAUGCAAGUCGAACGGUAACAGGAAGAAGCUUGCUUCUUUGCUGACGAGUGGCGGACGGGUGAGUAAUGUCUGGGAAACUGCCUGAUGGAGGGGGGUAACUACUGGAAACGGUAGCUAAUACCGCAUAACGUCGCAAGACCAAAGAGGGGGACCUUCGGGCCUCUUGCCAUCGGAUGUGCCCAGAUGGGAUUAGCUAGUAGGUGGGGUAACGGCUCACCUAGGCGACGAUCCCUAGCUGGUCUGAGAGGAUGACCAGCCACACUGGAACUGAGACACGGUCCAGACCCCUACGGGAGGCAGCAGUGGGGAAUAUUGCACAAUGGGCGCAAGCCUGAUGCAGCCAUGCCGCGUGUAUGAAGAAGGCCUUCGGGUUGUAAAGUACUUUCAGCGGGGAGGAAGGGAGUAAAGUUAAUACCUUUGCUCAUUGACGUUACCCGCAGAAGAAGCACCGGCUAACUCCGUG
rnacentral:rRNA from 1 species